rnacentral:lncRNA from 9 species
GUUCUCUUGACACACAUCCAAUCUAGUCUUGUGUUCAGUGCUCUUGGGGUAUGGUUUAAAGCCAAGGAGAUUCUAGUCCUUAGAGGAACAUAUGAGUCUAAUGGAAAAAAUAAGUCAGCCUCAACAUAAAAUGAUUCAACAUAAAAAUCAUAUAGUAAAUUUAAGUCUUAGUUCAAUUCCGUGAUCUGAUUUGGAAUUACUGUGUCAUUUAUAAAACUGGGAGGCCAUACUUAUCCUGUCCCUUUUGGAAAUGCUAUAAGCAUCAAAUAAUUAGAUAAUUAUGGGAAAGUUUUUGAUAACUACUGGAAUGUCAGAUGUUAUUAGGUGCACACAGGAGAGGUAGGAAGUGAAGACUGUAUGGUUAAGGAUUGGUGGGUAUAUCAGAAACUCCUGGAGCAAGUAGGGAAAACAGAAGGAGAAAGGGGUUCCAGAAGGCAAAUUAACUAUAGAGUUAUACUAGCCAGCCUAAAAGAAGAAAAACCUGGGUCAAACUUAUCAAUACGGAACAUAAUUGGAGAUCAAUUUAAUUUAAUUAGUUUGAGGUAGUUUGUCAUUUCUUGGACUGUCCAGAAACCAUUCCCUCUUGCUAAAAGCACUGGCCUUUUCUUUGGGGGCAACCCUACAGCUGAUAUUCUUGGUGAAGAGGAAUCCAGUUGCCUGUGUCUUGAACCCAGUCCUAAGGGGCUGAGAUUGUUGACCAGUGUGUCCAUCUCACAGCCUUUCCUUCUCAUGAGACCAGCAUCUCUCCUUACUCUAGGAACUGUUUCUUCUCCAGGUGCUCAUGUGUGUCUAGGGAACUUCCUUGUGUUCACGUCAUCCCUAUCCACAGCCCCUGGGUGAUGGCUUUAGAAAGGCUUGGCUUGGGUCAUCACCCUCAGGGUCCUUUCCUAGCCCUCUUUGAACUGGCACUAAAAUAAGAGAGGUGGACCUUCUCCGAAGGUAAAAGCUAUGAAACAUGAGGUGUGGGAACUGUCUUCAGCACCUGCACUGUCAUGUGGAGGAAGUUGAAUUGCAGUAAAAGAGCAGAGGAGAAGUGGGGAGAAAGCCCUGGCAGCAUCCCAGGCUCUUCCUGCCUGAUGCAUUCCCAGCCCCACUAUGGUUUGGUUACUCAACUCUUCUUUUGCUUACAUGAUUUAUUUUGUACUCUAAGAAAAAAAAAAAAUCCUCAUCUUUUCUGCCUCACCAUUUUUUGAAUUGAGUUUAUGUCACUUGCCACAAAAUUUUCUACUUAAUAAAAAGAGACUAUUAAUUUUUUCUUUUUUUCCCCUUUCUUCUUUGUUUUUUUUUCUUUUAUUUUUACAGCCACACCUGUGGCAUAUAGAAGUUCCCAGGCUAGGGGUUGAAUCAGAGCUGCAGCUGAGGCUUACACCACGGCCACAAUACCACCAGAUCUGAGCCACAUUUGUGACUUACGCUGCAGCUUAUAGCAACACCAAAUCCUUACCUGCUCAGUCAAGCCAAGGGAUUGAACCCACAUCAUCAUGAAGACUAUGUCCUAUCUUAACCUGCUGAGCCAUAAAGGAAACUCCAAGAAUGUGAAUUUUGAAGAUUUAGUUAACUAUUGAACACCUUCUAUUUUCCUACUGCUUUCACAUAUCUCCAAUGAAAUCUGCUUAGAAUGGUGGAAUUAUUUCAUUGUACAGAUGGGGAAACUGAAACUGAAGAAGUUAAUAGAGUCAGUAAACAGGCAGUAGCACUAAUAAUAAUCAGAUUCAGGAUUCUAAUCAAAUUCGUCAAUUCUAAAAGCAUCUAUACUCUUACUACUAGACAUAUUGCCCUCCGGUGAACACAAGCUCUUCCAGGACCAAAUCUUAUCUACCCUGGUAUUUUCAGAACCUUGAAAAUAUCUUGUGACCUAACGGCCAUCUUAUACAUGUUUGUUGAAUGAGUGAAAUGUGAAGUUUAAUUAAAAUAGUCCUGAGUUCAAAGAACUAGGAGGACAGGGCCAAGCAGGAGUUGGCAAUCUCUGCAAAUUAAGGUGUUUUACGUAGCUGGUGUCUGCUCAAAGUUGGGCUCAAAUUAAAUUUCCCUGAACCUGGUAAUAUUUCAAAUGCAGACAAGAACUUGCUUGCUAGAGGAACACAGAUGAGUCCUUUUAAAAUAAUAAUUAUGCCCUCUUUUUAACAUCUACAUACAUCUAGAUUUUUUUUCAUGUUAGGUUUAUUUAAAGCAGGAUUUGUGGACCUCUGGGCUAUAUAUAUUCUCUGGACUAUAUAUUUGGGCUUCAGAUCCGUUUUGUAGAGUUGGCACAAUGUUAAAAAAAAAUGGAAAUAAUUGCCAAUAUUUACAAGCAGGACUUUUUAAAUAGAAGUCUGAAGUUUGGGUUUCUUUAAAGAAUGUGGUGACACAGAGCUUUUGUCAAUAUGUGGCCUAAUCAGCUGAAUGAAGGAAGGGAUGAACCCUUUUUGGUCAGAAAGUCCACAGAAUCCCCAUCUGAUUCCCUCAUGUUACUUACCUUUCUGUGUGCAUUGGCAUCAGCAACUCCUGGUUUAAGAUGCAUUAUCUCUCUCUAGGUCCAAUAGAGCAUGGGAGAAGCACAUAUAGAGUGGAAAGAUUCAACUCCAUGGUCUUCCCAAAGAACUACAAAAUCCUAGGGCUAGCAGAAGUAUUUUUAAAAGGCAUAUAUUUUCCUGACUAUCUGGAAAUCUCUAUUUGUUAAGUGCCAGUAAGUUACUUCUCCCACUGAUUCACUUGGUUGAGCAAUGAACUUGCCUUCUCACUGGCAUAUUUACCAGAAGCAGUGGACUCAUCCUCUAAAUUAUUUUCUAGUAAUCUUCCCUAAUGGCAUUGAAGUGCAAAUCAGAAUGAAUGCAAAACCAAGAGUUUGGAACUCUGGACAAUUAGCAAACUCAUUUGUCGACUUGCCAAAGAAGAAAUGCUGGUGUGGAAGAGAAAAACACUUUGUCACUUUAAUGGCAUCUGGACUGUCCUUUUGCUGUGCUUCAUUGUGUUAUUUUGGCUUUGGUUUCUUAUGAUGUAACCUUGGUGGAGUUAGCAAAAAAAGAAGACUUAAGACUGAUUUAAAUCCCCCUUCAUCUUAUUUAUGAGUCACCUCUUUUAGACCCUACAACACCUGUACAUGCUAUAUAGUAGAACACAGAUGUUAAACACAUGGAUCAGAGCCAGAAUAACCAGGUUCUUAUACUGACUGGAGCAAGGUCUUGUGGAUGCUUCUGCUAAUGUCUCAGCUGUGUUAUAAAAAAUUUGUAAGUUAAGUGUGUAAGUUCUGAUGUCAUACUGUCUGGGUUUGCAUCCUGACUCUAUGACUUGCUGUCUGUGUGUCCUUGAGCAAGUAAUUAAUUCCUUUGUCUCAGUUUCUCAGAUAAAGAAAUAGAUACAUAGUCAUUGGAAAAGAGAAAGAAUGCUCCCAUAGGACAGCAAUAUUUGAUACAAAACUGGUUAAUAUCCUACAAGCAAAACAACCUUGAUCUUUAGGGUUAUCUUUUCUAUCAGACAAAAGUAACUUACAAAAAUCAUUUGUAACGUGUCAGUUUCCUAACAGUUAAAAAUUAGCUAUGCAAAGCCUCGACCUGAACAACAGCAAAUUCCAAGUCAAAGUUAUCUCCUCUACAAAAUCAUACCACCCUUAGGCAGGUCAUUAGAAACCACUGAGUGAGCCUUUGAAAACCCAUGUUGGAGUCUUUUUCCCUUAUGUGCAAGUUUUAGAUAAUUUUACUCAAAGGGAUUAAAUUAAAUAAGGCUCAUAAAGUCCCUUAGAAUGGUGCCUACCAACUGUUCAGUAACUUUUAACAUGUUUUCAUCAUUACUUCUGAAAUGUGGUGGUUAUGAUAAUAAGACUAUAUAGACUCUUAUCACCACGCCUGGCACAGAGUAAGCCCUCAACAAAUAAGAGCUGUUGUUGUUGGUUGCUAGAAUGUCAGACACUGUACAACCAUAUUGUAUAGCUAUAUUGAGAAUCUAUGACAGCAACUGGGCACGCUAUCACAAGUUCUGUAAAUUUGGACAUUAUUAACCUUUAAAGAAUGCCCAACAUUCAAGAAGUUUCAAUUCCAAUGCUAUACAUUCUUAUCAAGUGGCCUUAAUGUGUUCUAAGUUAUCUGAGAAAUACUUGAAACCCUUCAGGAGAAAGGCUCUUCCUAGAAUAAUCAAUCUGUCAAUCAACCAGUCAGAUGUCCGUGGACUCACAUUGACCAGUCUGGCUUCUGUGGUCUUAUUUCAUAGAAUACAUUUUCACAGGAAAUAAAUGAGUUAUCCACUUUCUUGUAAGUAGUGUUGAGUGAGGGUGUCUGUCUUCAAGUCUGUGCAUUAGAUGUGACAGGUUGCUUAUUCUCAAAUGCACCGUGUGGGAGAUAUGAGCUUUACUGCACUGGACUAUGCCUACUCUCUGUGAUCUUGUCUUCUCCAUAGAAUGCCAAGACCUGAAAAGUGUUUUGCCCAGAUUAAGAAAUGAGAACAGGAGUUCCUGUUGUGGCUCAGAAGGUUAAGGACCAGAUGUUGUCUCUGUGAGGAUGUGGGUUCGAUCUGGCCUCACUCAGUGGGUUAAGGAUCUGGCAUUGCCAUGGGCUGCAGUAUAGGUCACAAAUGCAGCUCAAAUCUGGUGUUGCUGUGGCUCUGAUGUAGGCUGGCAGAUGCAGCUCCAAUUUGACCCCUAGCCCAGGAACUUCCAUAUGCCUUGGGUACGG